UACGAACGGUCCAAACGUUAUUCGGAAUUACUGGGCGUAAAGGGCUCGUAGGCGGCCAACUAAGUCGGAUGUGAAAUCCCCAGGCUUAACCUGGGAACUGCAUCCGAUACUGGAUGGCUUGAAUCCGGGAGAGGGAUGCAGAAUUCCAGGUGUAGCGGUGAAAUGCGUAGAUAUCUGGAGGAAUACCGGUGGCGAAGGCGGCAUCCUGGACCGGCAUUGACGCUGAUGAGCGAAAGCUAGGGGAGCAAACGGG
rnacentral:rRNA from 1 species